rnacentral:rRNA from 1 species
UGGGGAAUUUUGGACAAUGGGCGAAAGCCUGAUCCAGCAAUGCCGCGUGUGUGAAGAAGGCCUUCGGGUUGUAAAGCACUUUUGUCCGGAAAGAAAUGGCUCUGGUUAAUACCUGGGGUCGAUGACGGUACCGGAAGAAUAAGGACCGGCUAACUACGUGCCAGCAGCCGCGGUAAUACGUAGGGUCCAAGCGUUAAUCGGAAUUACUGGGCGUAAAGCGUGCGCAGGCGGUUGUGCAAGACCGAUGUGAAAUCCCCGAGCUUAACUUGGGAAUUGCAUUGGUGACUGCACGGCUAGAGUGUGUCAGAGGGGGGUUAGAAUUCCACGUGUAGCAGUGAAAUGCGUAGAGAUGUGGAGGAAUACCGAUGGCGAAGGCAGCCCCCUGGGAUAACACUGACGCUCAUGCACGAAAGCGUGGGGAGCAAACAGGAUUAGAUACCCUGGUAGUCCACGCCCUAAACGAUGUCAACUAGUUGUUGGGGAUUCAUUUCCUUAGUAACGUAGCUAACGCGUGAAGUUGACCGCCUGGGGAGUACGGUCGCAAGAUUAAAAGC